rnacentral:tRNA from 1 species
GGGAAUGUAGCUUAGUGACAGAGUGCUUGCCUACCAUGCAGGAAGCCCUGGGUUCAAUUCCCCAGCACCA